GGGGGAUAACGUUUCGAAAGGAACGCUAAUACCGCAUACGCCCUACGGGGGAAAGGGGGGGAUCUUCGGACCUCUCGCUAUUAGAUGAGCCCAAGUCGGAUUAGCUAGUUGGUGGGGUAAAGGCUCACCAAGGCGACGAUCCGUAGCUGGUCUGAGAGGAUGAUCAGCCACACUGGAACUGAGACACGGUCCAGACUCCUACGGGAGGCAGCAGUGGGGAAUAUUGGACAAUGGGCGAAAGCCUGAUCCAGCCAUGCCGCGUGUGUGAAGAAGGCCUUCGGGUUGUAAAGCACUUUAAGCGAGGAGGAAUGGCUCUGGGUUAAUACCCUUGAGCAGUGACGUUACUCGCAGAAUAAGCACCGGCUAACUCUGUGCCAGCAGCCGCGGUAAUA
rnacentral:rRNA from 1 species